GUGUUCACUUAGGCAGCACAUGUACUGAAACUGGAAUGACACAGAGAUGAGCAUGGUCCCUGUGCACGGAUGACACACAAAUUCAUGAAUUUCUCCAUAUUGUU
ensembl:snRNA U6 U6 spliceosomal RNA